rnacentral:lncRNA from 10 species
UGGCGUUUGGUUUUCUUUCCCUGGAUUAGUUUGCUGAGGAUAAUGACCACACAUCACCACUGUUUUUGUUUUUUAGUAUAAAGAGUAGCAUUUUAUUGAAUAAGAUUUGCUCACAGAAAAAUAAUCUUAAAUCUACAAUGAAUGCCAGACUCUACAGCAGAAAGCAAUUUUCUCACUUUUCCACACACAAUGGUUCCUACUAAGUGAAAAAAAGCCAUAAAAUUUCAUUCACAAAUGUACUACUCUGUCUCAAAACAUCUCACAUAAUCAUGCACUGUACUAAAGCCAUUAGAUCAGUUCUUCAGUGAGGUUAAAGAAGUAUCCCUCUAAUAACUGACUUUUAUAAUGCUAUCAAUAUGCACUCCCAAUCAGUCUGCCAUUGUUAAUGGUGUACAGCAUUACUGUAUACAAUGGAAUUGAUGACACCCAUAUCCAUGGACAAACCGUGACUUAUGAUGGUUUGAUUCAUGAUUUUUCAACGUUAUGAUGGGUUUAUUGGAAUAUUAGAUGCGUUUCUGAGUUACACUGGGUUUAUGAGUAUGCGACCCUAUACUCCAGAAACAGCUGUAUAAGGAAAAACAGGUGUACCUAAUAAAAAUAUGCUUAGUGACUUGCGAUAAACCAAUAGAUGUUCACAACUGAUGGAGAGCCGUGAAAGAGAGAUAGCGGUAAAUAGUUACAAUAACACAAUUUUCCUGCACCUGUCGAGGAUUUCCCCAAGAAAACGCAGAAUGUGGGAUGCACCUAAGGCAUGUGAAAGUGAGAGGGCAGAAGGAGUAAGAGAGAAAUAGGAGGAAGGAAGGAAGGAAGGAAAGAAGGAAGGUAGGAAGGAAGGAAGGAAGGAAAGAAGGAAGGAAGGAAGGAAAGAAGGACGAAAGGAAGGAGAAAACACCCGGUGUUACUAAAACCCCCCAAAAAUAUGGUUUCCCCAUGUGGGUAAGCCUACAAUGUGGAGGAAUCUUGAAAAUAUUGUGCUACGUGUUAUAUCAGUCAUAACAGCUCACCUAUUGUGCAAUUCCGUUUAAAGGAAAUGUCCACAAUAUGGAAAUCUCUGCAUAUGUGGUUGAUCGCACUAGGUAGUUGCUACCUAGGGCUGAGGGUCAGGGAGAGGGUUUGAGACAGAAUGAGGAGUGACUAAUGUCUACAGGGUUUUUCUCUGGUCGGGGGUGAUAAGACAUUCUAC